AACGAACGUUGGCGGCAUGGAUUAGGCAUGCAAGUCGAACGAAUGCUAUUUGGGAAACUGGAUAGCGGAAGUGGCGAAAGGGGCAGUAAUACAUGGACAACCUACCCUGGGGUUGGGCAUAGCCGUUCUAACGAGCGGGUAAUUCCCAGAGAGUCGGCGAGGGGGCAUCUUCUUGCCGGGAAAGAAUUUCGCCUCGGGAGGGGUUCAUGAGCUAUCAGCUAGUUGGUGAGGUAACGGCUCACCAAGGCGUAGACGGCUAGCGGGUGUGAGAGCACGACCCGCGCCACUGGCACUGAGACACUGGCCAGACACCUACGGGUGGCUGCAGUCGAGGAUCUUCGUCAAUGGGCGCAAGCCUGAACGAGCGAUGCCGCGUGAGCGAUGAAGGCCUUCGGGUUGUAAAGCUCAAAAGGGGUGAGAAAGGGAAACUUGAUCGAACCCCAGUAAGCUCGGGCUAAGUUCGUGCCAGCCGCCGCAGUAA
rnacentral:rRNA from 1 species